GGUACUGCACUGGUUACGGUGUGGGAGAGUAGGUCGCCGCCGAAC
rnacentral:rRNA from 1 species